rnacentral:rRNA from 1 species
GGACUACCAGGGUAUCUAAUCCUGUUCGCUCCCCACGCUUUCGCUCCUCAGCGUCAGUGCCGGCCCAGACCACCGCCUUCGCCACCGGUGUUCCUCCUGAUAUCUGCGCAUUUCACCGCUACACCAGGAAUUCCGUGGUCCCCUACCGGACUCUAGCCAUGGCAGUAUUGAGUGGCGUCUCCAGGUUAAGCCUGGAGGUUUCACACCCAACUAACCAAGCCGCCUACGAGCUCUUUACGCCCAAUGAAUCCGGACAACGCUCGCCCCCUACGUAUUACCGCGGCGGCUGGCAC